rnacentral:rRNA from 1 species
UACGAAGGGGGCUAGCGUUGCUCGGAAUCACUGGGCGUAAAGCGCACGUAGGCGGAUUGCUAAGUCAGGGGUGAAAUCCUGGAGCUCAACUCCAGAACUGCCUUUGAUACUGGCGAUCUUGAGUCCGGGAGAGGUGAGUGGAACUGCGAGUGUAGAGGUGAAAUUCGUAGAUAUUCGCAAGAACACCAGUGGCGAAGGCGGCUCACUGGCCCGGUACUGACGCUGAGGCACGAAGGUCAGGGGAGCAAACGGG